GCUAUCACUUGUUUUCAGUGGAAAGGUGUUAUAGUGCUGUAACACUAUAAUGUUACAUUGCUAUAAUGUUAAUUUACACAAAAUGAUUUGUUAUCACCAAUAACCACAGCAGGAAGGGUUGUUGUUGUUUUUGUUUAAAAUCAAUUUAAAAGAAAUGAGUAUCUUUUUUAAAAAAAAAUUUUUAGCAAAAAGAAAGCAGUAUACAUAAAAAACAAGCAAACAUAGGUAUACAU